rnacentral:snRNA from 1 species
UUGCUUGCUUUGGCAACACAUAUACUAAAACUGGAAUACAGAGAAGAUUAGCAUGGCCCCUGCACAGGAUGACACGCAGAUUUGUGAUGCAUUCCACUUUUUU